rnacentral:rRNA from 1 species
AGUGAACGCUGGCGGUAGGCCUAACACAUGCAAGUCGAACGGCAGCACAGUAAGAGCUUGCUCUUACGGGUGGCGAGUGGCGGACGGGUGAGGAAUACAUCGGAAUCUACUUUUUCGUGGGGGAUAACGUAGGGAAACUUACGCUAAUACCGCAUACGACCUACGGGUGAAAGCAGGGGAUCUUCGGACCUUGCGCGAUUGAAUGAGCCGAUGUCGGAUUAGCUAGUUGGCGGGGUAAAGGCCCACCAAGGCGACGAUCCGUAGCUGGUCUGAGAGGAUGAGCCGACACAAUGGAAGAAAGACACGGCCGAGACUCCACCGGGAGGCAGCGGUGGAGAAUAUUGGACAAUGGGCUGAGGCUUGACAAACCCAUACCGGGUGAAUGAAAAAGACCAUCGAGUGAAAAAGCCCUUUUGUUGGGAAAGAAAAAAAGCGGAUUAACCCCCUCCUUUCCUGAGGGUGCCCAAAGAAAAAGCCCCGAGAAAGUUGGUG